rnacentral:rRNA from 1 species
GCGGCGGRCGUWUCGGAUUUAUUGGGCGUAAGCGAGCGCAGACGGUUUAUUAAGUCUGAUGUGAAAGCCCGGAGCUCAACUCCGGAAUGGCAUUGGAAACUGGUUAACUUGAGUGCAGUAGAGGUAAGUGGAACUCCAUGUGUAGCGGUGGAAUGCGUAGAUAUAUGGAAGAACACCAGUGGCGAAGGCGGCUUACUGGACUGCAACUGACGUUGAGGCUCGAAAGUGUGGGUAGCAAACAGGAUUAGAUACCCUGGUAGUCCACACCGUAAACGAUGAACACUAGGUGUUAGGAGGUUUCCGCCUCUUAGUGCCGAAGCUAACGCAUUAAGUGUUCCGCCUGGGGAGUACGACCGCAAGGUUGAAACUCAAAGGAAUUGACGGGGACCCGCACAAGCGGUGGAGCAUGUGGUUUAAUUCGAAGCAACGCGAAGAACCUUACCAGGUCUUGACAUCCUUUGAAGCUUUUAGAGAUAGAAGUGUUCUCUUCGGAGACAAAGUGACAGGUGGUGCAUGGUCGUCGUCAGCUCGUGUCGUGAGAUGUUGGGUUAAGUCCCGCAACGAGCGCAACCCUUAUUGUUAGUUGCCAGCAUUCAGAUGGGCACUCUAGCGAGACUGCCGGUGACAAACCGGAGGAAGGCGGGGACGACGUCAGAUCAUCAUGCCCCUUAUGACCUGGGCUACACACGUGCUACAAUGGCGUAUACAACGAGUUGCCAACCCGCGAGGGUGAGCUAAUCUCUUAAAGUACGUCUCAGUUCGGAUUGUAGUCUGCAACUCGACUACAUGAAGUCGGAAUCGCUAGUAAUCGCGGAUCAGCACGCCGCGGUGAAUACGUUCCCGGGUCUUGUACAACCCCSCCCCGUC